AUUGAACGCUGGCGGCAUGCCUUACACAUGCAAGUCGAACGGCAGCACGGGAGCAAUCCUGGUGGCGAGUGGCGAACGGGUGAGUAAAGUAUCGGAACGUGCCCAGUCGUGGGGGAUAACGUAGCGAAAGUUACGCUAAUACCGCAUACGAUCUAUGGAUGAAAGCGGGGGAUCGCAAGACCUCGCGCGAUUGGAGCGGCCGAUAUCAGAUUAGGUAGUUGGUGGGGUAAAGGCCCACCAAGCCGACGAUCUGUAGCUGGUCUGAGAGGACGACCAGCCACACUGGGACUGAGACACGGCCCAGACUCCUACGGGAGGCAGCAGUGGGGAAUUUUGGACAAUGGGCGAAAGCCUGAUCCAGCCAUGCCGCGUGCAGGAUGAAGGCCUUCGGGUUGUAAACUGCUUUUGUACGGAACGAAAAGGACUGCCCUAAUACGGUGGUCCCAUGACGGUACCGUAAGAAUAAGCACCGGCUAACUACGUGCCAGCAGCCGCCGCAG
rnacentral:rRNA from 1 species